rnacentral:rRNA from 1 species
GAUGAACGCUGGCGGCAUGCCUUACACAUGCAAGUCGAACGGUAACAGGUCUUCGGAUGCUGACGAGUGGCGAACGGGUGAGUAAUGCAUCGGAACGUGCCUAGUAGUGGGGGAUAACUACUCGAAAGAGUGGCUAAUACCGCAUGAGAUCUACGGAUGAAAGCAGGGGAUCGCAAGACCUUGUGCUACUAGAGCGGCCGAUGGCAGAUUAGGUAGUUGGUGGGAUAAAAGCUUACCAAGCCGACGAUCUGUAGCUGGUCUGAGAGGACGAUCAGCCACACUGGGACUGAGACACGGCCCAGAUUCCUACGGGAGGCAGCAGUGGGGAAUUUUGGACAAUGGGCGCAAGCCUGAUCCAGCAAUGCCGCGUGCAGGAUGAAGGCCUUCGGGUUGUAAACUGCUUUUGUACGGAACGAAAAGCCCCGGGUUAAUACCCUGGGGUCAUGACGGUACCGUAAGAAUAAGCACCGGCUAACUACGUGCCAGCCGCCGCAGUAA